AACACGAAUUGCCACCCCCUUGUUUGAGGGCAAAAUUGUAAUUUCACAUCAUAAACUAGUUGCCCUAUCUUCAAACCAAAUCAGACAAGAGAGUGUUAGAUUGGUUGAGAAAGAGAGAGACCUUUCCAUUUUUCCAAACCUCAAAAACUCCAAUUUCCGAAUUUUCCUGUUUGGGUUCCCAGAAAAUUCCCGCGAAAACGUUCAAAAAAGUCUCACUAAAUUGUUCUUUUCGGGGGGUUUUCUUCGAUUCUAGGGAUUCGAACUAUUUCCAUGGCUGAUUUCUGCUAAUCGUUUGAAGAAUUAGGGUUUUCGCGUGUUUGUUAGGUUUUCAGGAAUUAGGUUAGGAUUUUCCUUUUUCUUUCUGAAAUUUCAAUGGCGGAUCGUAAUAAUAAUAAUAAUAAUAAUAAUAAUACUGCUUUGGCAAAACCGAUAUGGAUGAAACAAGCUGAGGAGGCGAAGAUCAAGAGCGAGGCUGAGAAAGCUGCCGCAGCUAAAGCUGCUUUCGAAGCCACAUUCAAAGACGUGGAAAAGAAUCGUGUGAAAGAUAUAACAGCAGGGGUUUCAUCGGAUAGCGAGAGCGAAGAAGCUGAGGACUUGUCGAACAAGCCCAUUGGGCCGGUGGAUCCUUCUAAGUGUACGGCGGCUGGGGCUGGAAUCGCCGGUGGAACGGCUUGUGCUCCGUCGUCAUUUGGGGUGGUUACUAAAGAUGUUGAUGGAAGGAAGGUUCCUAAUGGUGGUGCUCAAAUUAAGGUGAAGGUUUGUCCUGGAGUUGGAGUUGGUGGAUCGGAGCAAGAAGGGGUGGUUAAGGACAUGGGUGAUGGGACUUAUACAGUUACCUAUGUGGUGCCAAAGAGAGGAAAUUAUAUGGUUACUAUUGAGUGUAAUGGGAAACCAAUUAUGGGUAGUCCAUUUCCGGUGUUCUUCAGUGCAGGUACUACUCCAACUACUCCUACUGCUACUGCUACUACAUCUAAUGGGGGGCUACUUGGUCUGGCUCCAUCAUCUAAUUAUCCAAAUUUAGUUAACCAAACCAUGCCCAAUAUGCCAAAUUAUACUGCAUCUGUUUCGGGGGCAUUUCCAGGAUUACUGGGAAUGAUCCCUGGUAUCAUUCCUGGUGCUUUAGGGGGGGCUAUUUUACCUGGCAUUGGAGCAUCUCUUGGUGAAGUUUGUCGGGAAUACCUUAAUGGUCGGUGUGCCAAAACUGAUUGCAAGUUGAAUCACCCUCCUCACAACCUUCUAAUGACGGCAUUAGCUGCAACAACUAGCAUGAGCAGUGUAAGUCAAGUCCCCAUGGCUCCUUCUGCUGCUGCAAUGGCUGCUGCUCAGGCAAUUGUUGCCGCUCAAGCCCUUCAAGCCCAUGCUGCUCAGUUGCAAGCACAAGCUCAUUCGGGCAAAGACUUAUCUGGUUCACCUGACAAAGCUGGGAGGGCUGAUGCACUAAAGAAAACACUUCAAGUUAGCAAUCUUAGCCCACUUCUCACUGAAGAGCAACUGAAACAACUUUUUAGUUUUUGUGGUACUGUUGUUGACUGUACCAUCACCGACUCAAAGCAUUUCGCCUACAUAGAAUACUUAAAACCUGAAGAAGCAACAGCUGCAUUAUUAUUGAAUAAUAUGGAUGUUGGGGGUCGCCCCAUGAAUGUUGAAAUGGCAAAAUCACUACCUCCGAGAUCCUCUGCCUUAAAUUCUCAGUUAGCGUCUUCUUCCUUGCCUAUGAUGAUGCAACAAGCUGUUCUCAUGCAACAGAGACAAUUCCAGCAAGCUUUAGUGAUGCAGCAAACCAUGACUGCACAACAAGCAGCUAACCGAGCUGCAACAAUGAAAUCUGCGACAGAAUUGGCAGCAGCAAGAGCUGCUGAAAUAAGUAAGAAAUUAAAAGCUGAUGGACUUGUGACUGAAGAGAAGGAAGAGAAGCCAAAAUCUCGGUCACCUUCACCUGCUCGAGCAAAGUCAAGAUCCAAGUCAAGAUCGCCAAUCAAUUAUCAAAGACGGCGAAAGUCACCUUCCUACUCUCCUCCAUCUCGCCACCCAAGAGAUCGAAGAUCUAGAUCACCUUUUAGGUCUCGUCAUGGCUAUGACAAUGAGAGACGUCCGUAUAGAGACUUUAGGGAUAUCAAUGACAGAUAUAGACGAAGAGAUUCAAUUAGAUCACGCGAUUACUAUUCAUCUAGUUCUAGAAAGCAUAGGAGUAGGAGUGUUAGCCCAGGAACAAGAAAAUCAUAUCGAGUUGACUCUGUGUCACCUAAACGUCAUCGGGAAGGUUCUCCACGUAGAGCAACUCGUGCUGGUUCAAGAUCACCAAAUCACACCAGAGGAAAUAGAUUGUCUCCAAGAAUUGAUGAAGAUCACAAGCUUAAGCAGAGAAAACGCUCUAGGUCAAAGUCUCCAAAUGGCAAGUAUCACUCAAAUGGCAGAAGAGAUGAAACUCGCCAUGAAAGAUCAAAGCAUAGUGAUAGAAGGAGGUCCAGAUCAAUAUCUGCAGAAGGUAAGCAUCACAGAAGGUCAUCUCCACAAAGUCCAGAUGAGAUUAGAUCCAAACAUAGAAGGUGGUCCAGGUCAAAAUCUGUGGAAGAUAAGCACCGUUCCACUGAGAAAGUGGAUGGUAACAAAAGUGAAAAAUCAAAGCAUCGUGACAGAAGGCGCUCAAGGUCAAAAUCUUUGGAAGGUAAGCAUAUCUCAGAUGAGAAAGUAAACCAAGCAAAAACUGAAGAUAAAGAAGAUGAUAGAAGGCAAUCAAUGUCAGACUCUUUGGAAGAUAAGAUUAACUCUGAUGACAAAGUGAGAGAAACCAGAGAGGAAAGAUCAAAACAUCGUGGAAGGAGGCGUUCCAGGUCAAGAUCUGUUGACAGCAAGCAUAAAAUGAAGGAAAAAUUAGACGAUAGUAAGGGGAAAAAACCAAAGCAUCGGGGUAGGAGACGAUCCAGGUCAAGAUCUGUUGAGGCUAAGCAUCACAAGGGAAGUGGGUCAUCCUUGAGAGGUUUUGAUGAUAAUAAAGCUAAACACAGAAGGCGCUCCAGGUCUAGCUCUGCUGAUGAAAAGCAUUACUCAAAUGACAAAAUAAAGGAAAGUAGAGAGGGGAAAUCCAAGAGUCACCGGAGAAGACGGUCCAGGUCAAAUUCAUCAGAACGAAAGGUUCCCAAUGAAAGUAGCAGAUAUCAAAGUAGUUCAGAUGAAAGUGAGUCAAAACUCCCAAGAAGAUCUAUGUCAGAUUCUGAAGGGGAACCAAGCAAGAAGGAAGCAUUGAUCCCUGAGCAUUUGGAGAUGUCCGGAGCUGAACUGGAAGAUCAAAAUUAUUUGGGGAAGUCGAGGCACAUGGAUGACAUUGCAGAUAGUCCAACAGACACGAGUGCAUAAGACUCAAAGAAUUAUAUUGAUGGCAGGACUGCUUGAUUUCAAGAUUCUUCAUUUUGAGGAUGUUGACAAGAGUCAUAGUGCCCGAUAAAACAUACCCUAAAUUUGAGAAGUUUAUGAAGGCGCUUAGCGAUUCUGAGAAACGGGGCUUAAUUUAACUUUAUGAGGAGGACCAUUUUCUUGGAAGAUUGCUUAAUUUUUCUAUUGGCGUGGCUCUUCAUGAAUAUGCUCUAUUUUUUUUUUAAUAUUUUGCAGGUCUCUUGGAAUAGAUUGGAUAAAUGUCUGUGGGCUGGAUAGUUAUGUAUUUCAAGGAUGUUCUGCUUUCAUCUGCAAUGAACCAAUGCAUGGUUGUAGUGAGCUUCUUUUACUAAUUGAUGUUCAUACAUGGUGUGAUUUCUUUGGAGCUUUGUGAGAUUCAUUUUGGCAGAGUUGAUUUUUGUUGUGAUGUAAAUGAAAGAAACUUUAUCUUGGUUAGGUAACGCCAUGCGUAAAGUCAAGUGAAAAUCAGGUUUUGCCGGGAGGGAUUGCACCAUGAUGAGUUUGAGCAGACGGGCUGAUUCACUUUUUGUUCUUUUGCUUAAAUGGAUGUUGAUUAUAAACAGGAUGUUUGAUGAUAUGAGAAAACGUCAGUGAGGCUCUUGAAGUGGACAUAUUAUAAAAUGGCCUUCUCUUAUUUCCUAUUCUUUUAUUAGCUUUUUCUUUUGGCAUUUAGAUUUAUUAAUUAACAUCAUCAUAGUGUUUUGCUGUUGUUUUUUCAUUACUGUUUAAUAAAUUAAAUUAUCAAUGGUUUAAUAAGAUUGCAAAUUUUCUUUUCUA